rnacentral:rRNA from 1 species
CCUACGGGUGGCAGCAGUGGGGGAUAUUGCACAAUGGGGGAAACCCUGAUGCAGCGACGCCGCGUGUGGGAAGACGGUCCUCUGGAUGGUAAACCACUGUCCCCAGGGAGGAAGAUGACGGGAGCGGGGGAGGAAGCGCAGGCUAACUACGUGGCAGCAGGCGCGGUAAUAAGGAUGGAGCGAGCGUGGUCCGGAAUUACUGGGUGGAAAGGGAGCGGAGGGGGGGCUGCAAGUUGGGUGUCAAAUCUACCGGCUCAACCGGUAGCCGCACUCAAAACUGCCGUUCUUGAGUGCAGUAGAGGCAGGCGGAAUUCCUAGUGUAGCGGUGAAAUGCGUAGAUAUUAGGCGGAACACCAGUGGCGAAGGCGGCCUGCUGGGCUUUUCCUGACGCUGAGGCUCGAAAGUGUGGGGAGCAAACAGGAUUAGAUACCCCUGUAGUC